AAAUGUGAAAAGAAAGGAAAAAAAUGCCUAAGUCUUUUCGAACAUAUUAGGGUGAAAAUAAACCCUAAUUCAUUCAUUUCAUCCCUUGUUUCUCUCUAUUGCUCUUUCUGAGUGCUGCCAUGUUGCAGUCAACUGGGUUUUUUUUGGGCAUUUGUUUGUAGAAAUUUGCCACUCCUUAUGCCGCCAUAGAUGAGCUUUUAUUUAUACACCACAACUCGGCUUUGGAUUGCUUCAUGAUUGGCAAAAAUAUGGGUAAUAUUUCUGCUCUUUUUUGUUUGAGGUGCCACCAUGAUCUUCACUCCUUGAGGGUUCAAACGAGUUUUUUUGGAAAUGAUUUGCAAUUUCGAGCACAGGCAGGCCGAGUCUAGCAAUAGAGCAACUUCUGAAGCAAUCCAAGUGGAAGGAGACGAAGAUUCAACAAUUCAACCUUGGGGUUCGUCAUUCAGGCAAUGACGGAUCCCUAUUCUUUUCUUAUGUUCUUCAUUUUCAAAUGUAUAGUUUUCUUUUAUGAUGCAUUGAAUCAGUUACUCCCACGACUUGUGUGGGACACUAUACUUUUGAUGUUCAUGAAUAAAGAAAGCAACCUUCUACGCAAAGUUGUAAACUGUUCUUUCUUGAAAACACUUGCAUUGAAUCAGUUACUCAUUUGAUAGCAUCUGUUACUUGUAUGAGCACUUAGCAUAAUCAAAUAUGUACUUUUAAUC